AACGAACGCUGGCGGCAGGCCUAACACAUGCAAGUCGAGCGAUACCAGCAAUGGUGGAGCGGCAGACGGGUGAGUAACACGUGGGAACGUACCCUUCGGUUCGGAAUAACUCAGGGAAACUUGAGCUAAUACCGGAUACGUCCGAGAGGAGAAAGAUUUAUCGCCGAAGGAUCGGCCCGCGUCUGAUUAGCUAGUUGGUGAGGUAAUGGCUCACCAAGGCGACGAUCAGAGCUGGUCUGAGAGGAUGAUCAGCCACAUUGGGACUGAGACACGGCCCAGACUCCUACGGGAGGCAGCAGUGGGGAAUAUUGGACAAUGGGCGAAAGCCUGAUCCAGCAAUGCCGCGUGAGUGAUGAAGGCCUUAGGGUUGUAAAGCUCUUUUACCCGGGAUGAUAAUGACAGUACCGGGAGAAUAAGCCCCGGCUAACUCCGUGCCAGCAGCCGCCGCAGUAAG
rnacentral:rRNA from 1 species